rnacentral:rRNA from 1 species
GCCUGUUUAACAAAAACAUGUCUUUUUGAUUAUAAUUUAAAGUCUAGCCUGCCCACUGAAUAAUUAAAUGGCCGCGGUAUUUUAACCGUGCAAAGGUAGCAUAAUAAUUAGUUUUUUGAUUGGUAACUGGAAUGAAUGGUUGGACGAGAAAACUUCUGUCUCUGUAUUAAUAGAAGAAUUUAAUUUUUGAGUGAGAAAGCUUAAAUUUUAUUUAAAGACGAUAAGACCCUGUAGAGUUUUAUUGAUUAAAAUUAUUUUUUUUUAGGAAUUAAUGUUUAAAUUAGUAUUAAUCUUUUUUGUUGGGGUGAUUGAAAAAUUAGUUUAACUUUUUUUAUUUUAUUACAUUGAUUUAUGGAUAAUUGAGUAAUUUUUUAAAUAAGAUAAAGUUACCUCAGGGAUAACAGCGUUAUUAUUCUUUAAAGUUCUUAUUUGAAGAAUAGUUUGCGACCUCGAUGUUGGAUUAA